rnacentral:SRP_RNA from 1 species
GCCAGGUGUGGUGGUGCAUGCCUGUAGUCCCAGCUACUUAGGAGGCUGAGGCAGGAGGAUUGCUUGAGCCCAGGAGUUUGAGGCUGCAGUGAGCUAUGAUUGCACCACUGCACUCCAGCCUGGGUGACAGGGCAAGACCCUGUCCA